rnacentral:rRNA from 1 species
CACGUAGGAGGCAAGCGUUAUUCGGAUUUACUGGGCGUAAAGCGCGUGCAGGCGGUUUGGUAAGUUGGAUGUGAAAGCUCCUGGCUUAACUGGGAGAGGUCGUUCAAUACUGCCAGACUUGAGGAUGGGAGAGGAAAGUGGAAUUCCGAGUGUAGUGGUGAAAUGCGUAGAUAUUCGGAGGAACACCAGUGGCGAAAGCGGCUUUCUGGCCCAUUUCUGACGCUCAGACGCGAAAGCUAGGGUAGUAAACGGGAUUAGAGACCCCGGUAAUCCUAGCCGUAAACUAUGUGAACUUGGCGUUGGCGGGUUUAAAUCCGUCAGUGCCGAAGCUAACGCGAUAAGUUCACCGCCUGGGGACUACGGCCGCAAGGUUA